UGAUCGAAAUUAUAUCCGAUAAGGAUCCUCCGAUGCUUAAGUUAGUGGAGAGUGGUGAAGAGCAGAUAGAAUAUUCAAAGUGAUAGAGUAUUAGCCCAGAAUUACUUUACCAAAUGCUAUUCAUUUAUCUUUUUUUAUAGACAAGUUGUUGGUAACCAUUUGUAACGGUUAGAUAUAUGGAUCCUACUUGUUCCGACAUUAUGUGAUCGUGGGAUGAGUGGUUAUAUCCGUCAC
rnacentral:lncRNA from 1 species